GACGAACGCUGGCGGCGUGCUUAACACAUGCAAGUCGAACGGAAAGGCCCUGCUUUUGUGGGGUGCUCGAGUGGCGAACGGGUGAGUAACACGUGAGUAACCUGCCCUUGACUUUGGGAUAACUUCAGGAAACUGGGGCUAAUACCGGAUAGGAGCUCCUGCUGCAUGGUGGGGGUUGGAAAGUUUCGGCGGUUGGGGAUGGACUCGCGGCUUAUCAGCUUGUUGGUGGGGUAGUGGCUUACCAAGGCUUUGACGGGUAGCCGGCCUGAGAGGGUGACCGGCCAAAGUGGGACUGAGAUACGGCCCAGACUCCUACGGGAGGCAGCAGUGGGGAAUAUUGCACAAUGGGCGGAAGCCUGAUGCAGCAACGCCGCGUGCGGGAUGACGGCCUUCGGGUUGUAAACCGCUUUCGCCUGUGACGAAGCGUGAGUGACGGUAAUGGGUAAAGAAGCACCGGCUAACUACGUG
rnacentral:rRNA from 1 species